UACGUAGGGUGCGAGCGUUAAUCGGAAUUACUGGGCGUAAAGCGUGCGCAGGCGGUCUGUUAAGACCGAUGUGAAAUCCCCGGGCUUAACCUGGGAACUGCAUUGGUGACUGGCAGGCUUUGAGUGUGGCAGAGGGGGGUAGAAUUCCACGUGUAGCAGUGAAAUGCGUAGAGAUGUGGAGGAAUACCGAUGGCGAAGGCAGCCUCCUGGGCCAACACUGACGCUCAUGCACGAAAGCGUGGGGAGCAAACAGG
rnacentral:rRNA from 1 species